GUAGAAACCUAUAAAGCAUCACAGCCACAGGGGCUUGCUCCAGAGACGGGUAUAGUGCAUCGAAGUCUAUUAUUGCAUACUUUUCUUCUGUUUUAAUGGGCCAACCUCCAAUAACAUUGAUAUGGAGAGAAAAAGACUACAGCGACGAAUUUGUGGAGGACAUGACGGAUGGAGCGUUGGGUCUGGCAUUGCGAGGGGAGCAGAGCGGUGGGGGGGCCUUCCAUUUCUUAGAUGUGCGGAUUGCUGCAGAGGCGGGGGAUUGCGUUGCGGACAUGUGCAGGGGGCCCACGUGCCAACCAGUGGUCGUGCUGGCUGCAUUUCGGGCGAUGGUCGCUGGAGCGUUCACGCGCGUUGCCGGGUGGAGGGAGGGGAAGAGGGAGAUGGGUUGUGUCUUGGAUAUGGGUGUCAGGUGUGGAUGCAAUAGGAGAAUGUUAGAGAGGCUGGUGGACAGAAUUGGG
rnacentral:lncRNA from 1 species